rnacentral:rRNA from 1 species
UACAGAGGGUGCAAGCGUUAAUCGGACUGACUGGGCGUAAAGGGCGUGUAGGCGGUCAAUUAAGUCAGAUGUGAAAUGGCAGGGCUUAACCUUGUCAGGUCGUUUGAUACUGGUUGACUAGAGAUUAGGAGAGGGAAGUGGAAUUUCCGGUGUAGCGGUGAAAUGCGUAGAUAUCGGAAGGAACAUCAGUGGCGAAGGCGACUUCCUGGCCUAAAACUGACGCUGAGGCGCGAAAGCGUGGGGAGCAAACAGG